UGGGGAAUAUUGGACAAUGGGCGCAAGCCUGAUCCAGCCAUGCCGCGUGAGUGAAGAAGGCCUUAGGGUUGUAAAGCUCUUUCAGUCGUGACGAUGAUGACGGUAGCGACCGAAGAAGCCCCGGCUAACUCCGUGCCAGCAGCCGCGGUAAUACGGAGGGGGCAAGCGUUGUUCGGUUUUACUGGGCGUAAAGGGCGCGUAGGCGGGGUAUCCAGUUAGGGGUGAAAGCCCGGGGCUCAACCUCGGAACUGCCUUUAAAACUGAUACUCUAGAGUGCGGAAGAGGGUCGCGGAAUUCCCAGUGUAGAGGUGAAAUUCGUAGAUAUUGGGAAGAACACCGGUGGCGAAGGCGGCUCACUGGCUCGAUACUGACGCUGAGGUGCGAAAGCGUGGGGAGCAAACAGGAUUAGAUACCCGCGUAGGCC
rnacentral:rRNA from 1 species